UGGGGAAUAUUGGACAAUGGGCGCAAGCCUGAUCCAGCAAUGCCGCGUGAGUGAUGAAGGCCUUAGGGUUGUAAAGCUCUUUCGCACGCGACGAUGAUGACGGUAGCGUGAGAAGAAGCCCGCGUAACUUCGUGCCAGCAGCCGCGGUAAUACGAAGGGGGGCUAGCGUUGUUCGGAAUUACUGGGCGUAAAGGGCGCGUAGGCGGCCUGUUUAGUCAGAAGUGAAAGCCCGGCGCAACCUGGGAAUAGCUUUUGAUACUGGCAGGCUUGAGUUCCGGAGAGGAUGGUGGAAUUCCCAGUGUAGAGGUGAAAUUCGUAGAUAUUGGGAAGAACACCGGUGGCGAAGGCGGCCAUCUGGACGGACACUGACGCUGAGGCGCGAAAGCGUGGGGAGCAAACAGGAUUAGAUACCCUGGUAGUCCACGCGUAAACGAUGAAUGCUAGACGUCGGGGUGCAUGCACUUCGGUGUCGCCGCUAACGCAUUAAGCAUUCCGCCUGGGGAGUACGGCCGCAAGGUU
rnacentral:rRNA from 1 species